rnacentral:lncRNA from 1 species
ACAAAAUAACCAAAUUACAAAUUUCGAAAAUAGAUAGAAUCAUAGAAACCACGAUAAGAACUGUAAUAUAUAAAAGUAGUUAUAAUCAAAUAGAAAAUGAAUAAUUAUCUAAAAUGAAAAAAAAAAAAACAUAUGGUAAUUUGUCAAUAAAUAGGUAAAAUAUUUCAGAUGACUGGGGUUGUUCAUUUAACCAAGAUUCUAAAGUUGUGAAAGGGCUAUAUUACGAGAGGAUAAAAGAUCAACCGUUUAUUUUCAAACUUGUGAAGCGUAGAACUGCGAUUUGCUAUUCAUCUGCAAUACGGUUCAUUUGUGCUGAAAUUGAAGGAGGCAGUAAAAUUGUUGUACCUGAGGAGUUACACCUCGAUAUUAUACAAAGCUUGUAAACAUAUAUCAGAUGAAUAUAAUUAUUUUUCACGCAAUCAUUCUCUUUCUUGAUUUAAUUACUCCGUUGUAAACAAUAGAAGUCUUUUUCAUUAAAAUCUUUUCACUUAUCAUCACACACACCCCCCCCCCCCCC